UUAUUGUUAAUAUCGCUACAAAUAUUUAUGUAAUCAAUUAGCUAUCAAAUAAAAUAUCUCAAGAUUAUUCUCCAACAAGCCAAAAGGAAACAACUUGUGUUAAUUCACAAAAUCAACCCACGAAAUAUACAUGGAAGCUAUGAUAUUUUCUUUUGGAAAGUAUUGCUCGUAUUCCAAAGGAAAUUCCAAAUCGAUCCGCCUAUUAAACAUGGAGAUUUCUUAAAGAAGUGUGUGCCCGUCGAUCCAUAGCUGCAACGCAAAGAACGCGCUGCUCGAUCAAAUCAACCGAGGGACGAGAGGAGAAAGGUCUCCGCCGGACUCCGCUUCCCCACCGCCGCGGAGCUGCCCGCUCCCCUCGCUCCAGAUCGAACUCCAUCCUGACCAGCCCAUCACGUCGAUUCCUUCGCCGACCGUCUACUCCGCUCAAUGCUGUCCCGCUGGACGCUCCUUCUCUCUUCUGCGCCUGGCCUUCCUCCACAACCUGGCGUCUCACUGUCGCCGUCGGCCAUCACCAGGUCGCCGCCUCCCAAACUCACCUACAGGUCGACCGGUACUCAUGAGAAUAGCAGAUCAGUACCUCUGGCCCUAAAAUCCCAUGUUCUUUUCUCUGGUCCGUUAAAUAUACUAUUUGGAAUCAGAUAUAUUUUACUCAUAUGAGGCAAUUUCUGCCAAAUUUGCUGAUAAUUUAGAAAGUGUGUUGCAUGCGUAAUGUUGAAUUCUUCUGUCAAUUUUGUCGUUGUCAAUUUUUGUUAGUUCAACAGGAAAACGAAUGUGAUGCACAUUGUAAGCUGCCAUGGACUGCUGAUACGACUCAUGCAUUACUUCAUGGUUCAUUAUGAGAGACGCGCAUUAACUUGGCAAUAUCAAAACUGGUGUUCCAUGAAACAACAGUCAUAAUAUUGCAGUCACUCGCCGAUGUGUAUCAGGACCGUUGACAUGACUGGAUCAUUUAGUGUUAGAAUAAUCUUAUAUUCUAGGAUGGAGGGAGUACCAUACCACUGUUUGUGCCUGAUUCGAGUAAGUUCAGAUAAAACUUUACAAUAAAACUCUCAUUGAAUUAAGAACAUAACUUGUGUUAUGUGCCUGAUUCGACCUUCUAUUGAUUUUUUACAUUGCUCAUAGCCCAUUGGUGCUUAAGUACAUGAAGAAAUGUCCAGAGAUGUCCAGUAUGUUACAACUGCAGUAUUUAAUAUGUAUUAUUAAUAUCAUUUUAGCACAAAUUUACAUUUAUGUUUACCCAGCUUGGCCUACAUGCUUUGUUUUUUUUGUUAGUAAGUUCAAUAAUUAGAUUUUGUACUACUUAGAAAACUCGUUAGAUGUUUUUACUGCUUGAUCUCACAUCAUAUUUACGUGCUAAGAAAUGAGUUGUAACUGAAACAAUAAUGUUAGUUUAUGUAACUACAUACUGUGUUGGAUAUUAGUUUUUUGAAAUUAAUUACGUGUUCAAUUGGCUUUUCUUUUUGUGUGUCAAGAAUUUAUUUACAAUCUGUAACACGAGUAAUUUAUUUGACAUACAUACAUACAUAUAUAUAUAUAUAUAUAUAUAUAUAUAUAUAUAUAUAUAUUUGUAUACGUGGAAUAUAUUACAAGAUCCAUCAUAAAACUGAAACAACAUCAAGGCUCUUUGAAGUCAUAAUAUCCAGCUUCACCUUCAAAUGUCGACGUUCUACCAUGACUGUGCAAUAUAUUUCAAGGCCCAUGAUAAAACGGAAAGAGGAUCACGGGUUUUACAGGUCAUGGUGGCCCGGUUUUGCUGGCGACCUGGCGUUGUGGUCCAUGCAUACCAAUUCGUGCUCUAGAAGAUAAAUGUAGAGAAGGGUCACAAUAAUUUAAUUCGCUGUUUCAAUAUUUGUAUUCAGAAUAAGUAGUAGUUAUAUUCUCCUGUGUAGUUUUAGUACCUGAGUUGAGAAAUAAAUAAUAGCCUUUCUCUAAAGAGGUUUGAUGCCUUGCUUUUUAUAAUUCAAAUCAUUCGGAUUUGUUUUCUAAUAUUCAGAACAUAAUGGUUUGCAGAGAACAGUGAGGUGACUUUAGAUAGCUGUAAUGAGCUGAUGGAGCCUUUGACCUGAAGUUAUAUUUGUAUAGAUUACAUGAUUUGUUGAUGAGGAUAAGAAAGAGGAGCUGAUGGCGAACCAACCGAGGAAGGUCAUGGAAGAUUGAGGUUGGGCGCGAUGCCACAUCAGAAGUUAUUUAGGCUAUGGGCGAGUUAGGGGCCAUGGAGGAGUGAGCUGAUAGGAGGGUCGAGUAUGGUGCAUACAUGUCAACAUUGGUAGUCAGAACUUAUGUUGAGUGCGGAUGGGAAUGAUGGAAUGAGGACGGGCGUGCUGCAGUUUAGCAAUUUGUCAUUGCCAAAUGAUUCAAUCCCGGUGAGGUCAUUGUUGGAUAUGCAAGGUCUCACUUGGCAAGGUAUUCGAAGUUCUUAAGUGCUUAGGAACCUCGCUGUGUUUUCGUAUUGACGUGAUUAGCAAGUGUAUUUACCGAAGCAUAGAUGUAAUACGGGUUAUGUGCAGCACCGAAUCUGAGGUGGCUGCAGUCCAGUCGGUUCUGGCAUUGGAGAGUUAAGAGUGAAUCAGACUUAAUCAGAUGGCAUCGACACUGUGUUAAUCAUUGGAAGGUCUGUUGAGCGUUUGGGAAGAGAAGCAUGGGGCCAAUACGUACUUUUGGUUCUUAACCUAGGUGAUCUCAUUUAAAGUUGUUGCCGUUUGUUAAAGUCAUUCUUGAUAAGCUACACAACGCUUCAUGUAUUGCACUACUAAUGCCGUUUAUUUGGUGGCCAACCUCCUGUUCCACUCGUAUAUAGAUGAUUUGUUUUGUUUACUAAAAUGUGAAUAUAAGUGAAUCUAUCUUAAA